GAGUAAAGAUUUCGGUCGCUUUGGGAGGAGCUCGCUUACUAUCAGCUUGUUGGUAGGGUAAUGGCCUACCAAGGCUAUGACGGUUAGGGGGUGUGAGAGCAUGACCCCCAGCAUUGGCACUGAAACACUGGCCAAACACCUACGGGUGGCUGCAGUCGAGAAUCUUCCACAAUGGGGGAAACCCUGAUGGAGCGAUGCUGCGUGCGGGAUGAAGGCCUUCGGGUUGUAAACCGCUUUUGUAGGGGACGAAAUUUUUGACGGUACCCUUUCGAAUAAGAGGUUGCUAACUCUGUGCCAGCAGCAGCGGUAAUACAGAGACCUCAAGCGUUAUCCGGAUUUACUGGGCGUAAAGCGUCUGUAGGGGGUUUAUUAAGUUCCAAGUAAAAUUUCAAGGCUCAACUUUGAAUUCGCUUGGAAAACUAAUAAACUGGAGUCUAGCAGAGGUGCAUGGAACUUGUGGUGUAGGAGUGAAAUCCGUUGAUAUCACAAGGAACACCAAAGGCGAAGGCAUUGCACUGGGCUAGCACUGACCCUGAGAGACGAAAGCGUGGGGAGCAAAACGGAUUAGAUACCCGUGUAGUCCACGCCCUAAACGAUGAAUGCUAAAUGUUCGGGGAUUCGACCCCCUGGGUGUUACAGCUAACGCGUUAAGCAUUCCGCCUGGGAAGUACGGCCGCAAGGCUAAAACUCAAAGGAAUAGACGGGGAUCCGCACAAGCGGUGGAGCGUCUGGUUUAAUUCGACAGUAAGCGUGGUACCUCACCAGGGUUUGACAUCCCUUGACAGCCUUGGAAACAAGGUUUCCUUCGGGCAAGGUGACAGGUGCUGCAUGGUCGUCGUCAGUUCGUGCCGUGAGGUGUUCCGUUAAGUCGGGAAACGAACGAAACCCCUAUUGCAUGUUACAAUUUCUCAUGCAAGACUGCCCGGAUAUACUGGGAGGAAGGUGGGGAUGACGUCAGAUCUGCAUGGUCCUUAUACCCUGGGCGACACAGGCGCUACAAUGGCAGAGACAAAGGGUUGCAAAACCGCAAGGUGAAGCUAAUCCCAAAAACUUUGUCUAAGUUCGGAUUGAAGGCUGCAAUUCGCCUUCAUGAAGCUGGAAUCGCUAGUAAUCGUGAAUCAGCCACGUCACGGUGAAUAUGUUCCCGGAUCUUGUACUCACCGCCCGUCACACCAAGAGAGUUGGUAGCUCCCGAAGCGUCCCGUUUUAGCGGGGCAUCACGGAGAGAUCAGCGAUAGGGGUGAAGU
rnacentral:rRNA from 1 species